UGGUGCGGAGUGCCUAAUGAUACCAUCAAUUCACCACUACCUAACAGUUGCUGCCGAUCAUGUUUUUCUGUACUGUGCUCGGCGUUCUGUGAACCCGGGAACCAGUGAACGACUUGAUCCUGUCCCCAGGAGAGCAGGGAGACAGUCAUGGAGGGCGAAGAAGGCCUGGAGUUUCACAUGCUAGACCUCACUGAAUGCUCAUGGCAACUCAGCUUCGCAGGGAGGUGCCUGGGCACUAGGAGGCAAAGGAAAAUAUGAAAGAAACAAGAUCCAGAGGGAAAUCCUGGCGAGCCCAGGGAAGAGCGGGGAACAUGCAGAUCAGCUCUUGGUGCCAGCGUUCCUUUGAUCACAUCUCCCAAACAAGCAUGAGACUUUCCAGGUGACAUUUAUCUUCUCAGCCCUAAAGCCCAGAAGGCAGAACUUGAAGGUGCUAACCAGACCCCCCGGACUGCGGAAGUGUUCUCCUGCACGGAGCGCAAGGAAGUGGAGAGGAGCAGCCUAGGAGGAGCCGUGCUUCACCUCUUUAAAGGUAGAUUCGAGCCAGUGACCCAGCAAGUAGGACCUGUGGCAGUGCCUGGGCCUCACCUGGGAGAUGGACAGUGUGGAGGCUCGUAUGCCCUACCUCUCAUUACUGGACCUGGAGAAUCGUCAGAUGCUUACAACAAUGAGAGUGAACUCCAGAUCACAAAACCAGUGCGCUCUUGACUAAUGGAAGCCAUGUGUGUCCCCUGUGGGACAGCCACUUCCAGGGGCUCCAUUAGGCAGCCACGGCCUGGCCACAGCAGCCAGCCCCUUCAUGACAGCACACCCUCAAAAGUUUUGUGAACAAGAGUUUUCCAAAAACAA